GAUGAACGCUGGCGGCGUGCCUAAUACAUGCAAGUCGAGCGAACAGACGAGGAGCUUGCUCCUCUGACGUUAGCUGCGGACGGGUGAGUAACACGUGGAUAACCUACCUAUAAGACUGGGAUAACUUCGGGAAACCGUAGCUAAUACCGGAUAAUAUUUUGAACCGCAUGGUUCAAUAGUGAAAGACGGUCUUGCUGUCACUUAUAGAUGGAUCCGCGCCGCAUUAGCUAGUUGGUAAGGUAACGGCUUACCAAGGCAACGAUGCGUAGCCGACCUGAGAGGGUGAUCGGCCACACUGGAACUGAGACUCGGGCCAGACGCCGACGGGAGGCAGCAGUAGGGAAUCUUACGCAAUGGGCGAAAGCUUGACGGAGCAACGCCGCGUGAGUGAUGAAGGUCUUCGGAUCGUAAAACUCUGUUAUUAGGGAAGAACAAAUGUGUAAGUAACUAUGCACAUCUUGACGGUACCUAAUCAGAAAGCCACGGCUAACUACGUG
rnacentral:rRNA from 1 species